rnacentral:tRNA from 1 species
UCCCUAGUGGUCUAGUGGUUAAGACUGUCUUCCAAUGCAGGGGGUGCAGGUUCGAUUCCUGGUUGGGGAG